rnacentral:tRNA from 1 species
GGCUCAAUGGUCUAGUGGUAUGAUUCGCGCUUCGGGAAUUAAUCUUGAACUUUAAAAAAGUAGAGAAGCCCCAUCAGAGUUUCUGAUGAUGAUUGUGCGAGGUCUCGGGUUCGAAUCCCGAUUGAGCCC